rnacentral:lncRNA from 1 species
GCGGAUCCCCCUAGAGCGGGUCGGGUCACUCGUGGGUUGGCCUUAAACGGUGCCGUUUUGGCAUUUAAAAGGCUAUAGUGAAACGGUGUCGUUUCACUCUAUUAUAAAACCCAAAAAAUCUUCCCAAAAUUUUCAUUUUUUUCAUUCAAAAGAAAAAAAAUAAAAAAAAACUCUCUCAACACUCUCCCUCACUCCAGAAACCGGCCAAGGGUCCAGUCAACUUCCGGUCACUGGCCACUGUGUCAACCGCCAGUCGCCGGCGACGGUGUCGCCGUAUGCGGUGGCCGAAAAAGGCAAAAAUCUCUGGUUUAAUCCUUUCAAACCCCCUAAACCCAAAUCUGAGUUCAACAACCUCG